GCGCAGUUAGUGGAGUGGUUUAGCACUCUCGUUUCCUAGUACCCAACCGACUGUAGAGACUAACGAGGGACCCGGGUUCGAAUCCCGGACUGCGCA